rnacentral:rRNA from 1 species
AUUAAUAAGGUUGUGUAAAAGUAUAUUUAUAAUAUAAGUAAAUUUAGUUAUAUUUAUUGUAGUAUUAUAUAAAGAAUAAAUUAUAAAAUUGAUAAAUUAUUAGUACUGUAAAGGAAUUGUGAAAUAAUAUGAAAUAAUUAUUUAAAUAGAAGAAGAAUUAAUUUUGUACCUUGUGUAUCAGGGUUUAUUAAUAUAUAAUAUUUAAUAAUAAGUUUCCCGAAUUGGAAUGUGUAAAAGUAAAAAUGUUAGUUAAUGUAGUAUAAUUAUUAAUAAUUUUAUUUUUGUAAUGAAAUGUUAUUCGUCUUCUAAGAUAUCUGGUUUUUCAAGAGAUAAAUUUAAUUUAUUUAUUAAAAGUAUUUUUUUUAUUUAAUAAUAGUUUAUUUUUAAUAAGAAAUAUGUGAGGGGAUGAGCUCUUGUAUAAUAUUUAUAAAAUUUUUAUUAUAAAUUUAAAAUUGGUAGGCUUUAAAUUAGCUUUCAGGUUAAAGAUGUUAUAAUUUUUUUAAAGGAAAAAUAAUUUAUAUAAUUAUUUAAAUUGUUUAUUGAAAUGUUAAGUUUAAUAAGUUACUUGAGUAAUAAUGAUAAAAUUAGUAUAUAUAAUUUGUUUAUAAAAAUUUCUGUGGGAAUUUUAAAAAAGGAACUAGGCAAAUUUAUUACCCGUCUGUUUAUCAAAAACAUUGUCUUUAGUGUUAAUAUAAGAUAAGGCCUGCCCACUGAAUUUUUUUGAAGGGCCGCGGUAUUAUGACCGUGCAAAGGUAGCAUAAUCAUUAGUCUUUUAAUUGAGGGCUGGAAUGAAUGGUUUGACGAGGUAAAAACUGUCUCAUUAAAAUAAAUUGAAGUUAACUUUUAAGUGAGAAGGCUUAAAUAAAUAUAUAGGACGAGAAGACCCUAUAGAGUUUAAUAUAUUCUUUUAUGGUUGUUGCAUAGAAGUAGGGAAUAAUUGUAUAAAAUAUAUUUUGUUGGGGUGACAUAAAGAUAAAAGUAACUCUUUAUUUUUAUAACAUUGAUUUAUGGUUAAAUGAUCCACAAAUAGUGAUUAAAAGAUUAAAUUACCUUAGGGAUAACAGCGUAAUUUUCUUUAAGAGUUCAUAUCAACAAGAAAGAUUGCGACCUCGAUGUUGGAUUAAGAAUUAUAAUUAGAUGCAGCAGUUUAAUUUAUAGGUCUGUUCGACCUUUAAAUUCUUACAUGAUCUGAGUUCAGACCGGUGUGAGCCAGGUCGGUUUCUAUCCUUAUAAAUAACUUAUAAUUUAGUACGAAAGGACCAAUUAUAUUAAAUAAUUUAUAUUUAAGUUAAAUAUUA